UGACAGUUUCCAUGGUAACGAGAGUGCACUGAUUCUAAUUAACCAGGAAGCAUAUAACACAUGUUGGACUAAAUAUUGGCAAGUGAGCACAAUCAUGCAGCGAAAGGCGCCACCGUGUCAGUGGACUGAAGAGCACGAAAACAUAGCCCGAAUGCAGAAGCUGCGCUGCACCCAGAUAAAACAAGAGAUAAAAAUGGCUAAUAAAGAACUGGUACUGGUCCGAAGGGCAGCUCUGAAGAGACUACUGAAGGAGGAAGAAGAACAAUACAGCAAGGAACUAAACAGCCAGGGAAAAUGCUUUCAUACCCAGAGGUUGUGAGAUCGCCGGAGCACAGGCCUGCACAGCAUUUUAAGUCCCACCCGAGAUGCUGCAUGUAUCCAUCAGAACAUUAAACCUUGUCUGUAUCCACAUUUUUCAUAUUUUUAUUCGUGCAUAGUUUUGUUUUUAUAUGCUGUUGUUUUUAAAGAGCUUAAUUUGGAUGAAAAUAAACAGCACAAUAAAUGAGACAUGACAACAAUACAUCUAAAAAUAAUACAUAUUGUAGCCAUACAUGGUGUCAUUGUCAUGGCACACUGGCAGCCAGCAAGAUUAUCCAGUAAUUCCUGAGCAGCCCCUGUGGACAGGGACAGACUAAGGUGCUAGUGAGAAGGCUCCCAUGGUUCUUCACUAAAGUGUCAAUUGUCAGGAAUUUAAAGAAUUUAAAAUGUUAGUCCAAAACAGCCGAGUUGCAAACAUGACUUGACAUGAGAAUUUUUCCAAUUCAGCUAUAAUGGACUAAAACUUAAAAUUUGUGUGGCCGUGUUUGGAGGCUAAAGGAGCUGGAUGCAGAAUGGCUGAGCUUCCUGCUGGAAAGAGUAGUAAGUGUUUAACAUUUAUUCAGAAGCCUCCUUGAGAAAUACUACUCCCCUACCUAAGCAGGAACACUUUGGCUCUGAUUCAGCUUGAAUUCCAUAUGGAUCAGCUAGUGUUUUGGUGCUGUACACUCACCUGUGGCCUACUAGCUGGAGCGAGGCAGGGGAAGUGGCCGAUUCUCCGCUCGCUCGUGCAACCUUGAAGUCUUGUGAGCCCUGUUCUCCCGCUCUGUUCGGUCCACUACAGCAUUGCCUCUCGACUGGCUUCACACUA